rnacentral:rRNA from 1 species
AGAUGAGUUCUCCCUGAGACUAUAAGUCUCCUGAAGGAACGUUGAAGACGACGACGUUGAUAGGUCGGGUGUGUAAGCGUAGCGAUACGUUGAGCUAACCGAUACUAAUGAACCGUGAGGCUUAACCUU